AAGACAAUUUAUAUUCAAUUUAGAGUUUUUUCCAUUUUUCUUUAGUAUUUAAUUUUUGUUCAAGAACAAUUUAUACUUUCAAUUAUAUGUGUUCUCAAUAAAAUAAUCUUUUAAUUUGUUCUUCGUUGUUUAAUUAGUAUGCAAGGAUAUAUUUUAUUUAAAAAAUAAGGUACAAAAUUCAAUUAAUUAUCUUUAUCUACAAGAAAUUUCAUAUUGUUUCUUGCUUAUUAUGAACACGUUAAUUUUUGAAAGAUUGAUUGUUUUAAGGCUUAGAUAAAUCACCCUUGUUCUUAUCAUAAUAUGAGCUUAAUCCCAUCAAUUUUUGUGCCCAGUGAAGUUCAAUUAAACACAUGUUGUAUUUCUCUCUAAAAUGUAUGCAAGGUACUUUGUUUUCUUUAAAAGAACAAGAGUCGAUGAGCAUGAAUUAUUGUCGCAAGGAUUAACAAUGAAUGCUUGUGUGUCCCUAUCUCUUUUCUUGAAUCUAGUUUAAGGUUACUUGAUUUAUUUUCUUGGUUAAGAUUUGAUUCUUAGAUAACUUUGAUCAAUGACAUGUUUGGAUAAGAGCAAUUUUAGUAUGCAUGUGUUUGAUCUUUCUUUGUUUAAUUAGAGGAUUGAAUCUUAAUCAAGAUUCAUUAAGAAUCAAGUAAAUUGAUUUUUCAAGGACCUUAGCCAAGAAUUUAUUUUUUAAAGUAAAAGUCAUUCAUGUUUCUUUUAGCUCAAUGAUAAGAAUUGAAUAAUGCGAAUUGCCCCUUGCCUCAUUUUUCUCAUAGAACUUAAUUUCUACUUUUUGUUCUUGGAUUAAAUUUGCAUCUAAAAAAUAACUUGUGUUGAUUCUUUGUUACAAAUUCUCUUGAUAUUUCCUACAUAUUAUUUUAUGUUUCUUUUUUCUACUAACCACUUUCUUUUCAAGCUUUGGUUUCAAGAAUUUUUGUUAUCAACCACUUUCCUUUCAAGCUUUGGUUUGACACCCUAACUUGACACCAAGAUACAGUAAAAAUUAAAGCGGGGAUCAGGGUCGCCAAGGUUUGCUGGUUGGAUUGGUGGGAAUGGUGCUCUAAGUCCAGUAGAAUGAUAGGAGUUGUUAUGUGUAAACAAACACCACAUGGGUGUAUUCCAUUGAUGCUCGAAACUGCCUUUCAUGUCGUGUAGCCAUCUGUCACAUCAUUAUGAAUUGUGCGAUGAUCAAUGAAGUGAGGCUUGAGACUGUUGUUCUUAGUCUGCCGACAUUGUGUCCAACUUGCUGUUGGACUAUUUUCUCUUUAAGCUCGACAUUUUCAUCUUGCAACUCUUCUACAAUCUUCUUUGUCGCAUCAAGUUGCUUGCCUUGAUGCUUUUACACAACUAGUAAUUCUUCCAAGUAUUUAAAGCUAGGCUUGCAAACAGUUGUGCCAAUGCAGUUAAACAUGUUGUCACCAUCACUCUACGCGAUAGACUCUUAUGGUUCGUGGUGAUGCAACGUAGAGAAGCUUGUCUCGCUAGCUACUCCAAGGGUAGAUUGUUUGCGCUUGGAGAGUGGGUCAUCAACACUGGCUCGCGUCUCAUUGUUCUACUAUGGUUUGUUCACAGUAGGCGUAUUCAAUUGCGUUUCUUCCUCUUCUAAUAUGACAACUAUUGGGACUUUCUUCUUUACUCCCACUGCUGGGAGAGGAAUCACUUCAUUUGUAACAACUUUUGGAUCAGAUAAAGGCUUAUUGAGGUCAGGGCAUAAUGGGUCUUGGUUAUAUUUGGGCAACUGAUCGGGUGGCGAAAUGAGGAUAGGCGACACAGUGGUUCGUCUCCUUGGAGAGAUGGUGGGGAGAGAUGGAGUUGGGUCUUUUUGGUGAAAACAAGAUUUCGAUGGAGGUAGGGUGGUGUGGUUUGCCGAUACAUAGGCAGCACAAGGCUUCGUUGUCUAGGGGAUAUGGAGGAAUGGGUGAUGAUGGUGGAGGUAGGUCAUUUUGAGGAACGGGAGGUAGAGUUUGUUCUCUAAGAGGAGAAGGCGUUUUGGUUCUUUGAGGAGAAGUGAGAAUUUUUUUUCAUUUAAAGGAGGAGGGGGGGCGAGAGGCUAUCCUCGCGAGGUGGAUGUUGGAGGACUUUCUUAAUGUGGAGGGAGGGGGUAAUUUAGGCGUGGCAGGGUCAGUCAUCACAUCAACCUUAGGUUUCUUUAUGGGUUGUUUUAAGGUUGAUGUGGCUUUUCUCUUUAAUGGUGCCAAUGAAGACACCAUCCAGGAUGACUUCUUGAGGGCAUGUCGCCAAAGAAGGAAUGAUGCGUAGGCACAAUUUCUCUACUGUUGAUGGAAAGGGCAUGACGCCUUUAGGAAUUUCCAUCCACGCGAGGAUGGCACCUUGAAUGAUCUCUCCCAGAUUGAACGCCUUCUUUGUCAGAUACAAUAUAACAUCAUCGUGUACUCCACUAAUAUUGUGUUGUCAUGUCGCGUGGGAAGAAUUUUCUUCUUAAUGAAAAAAAACCACACAUUUGCCUCAGUUGUUAGCUAGUGUGGGUAUAAUUGAUACCUUAUCGUGGGCGUUACUUCCUAUUCCGCGCUAAGACAUAAGAUAACUUUCAACUCCUCCCUGGCCUGCCCCUUUAUGGGCCUUGUGAUUAUUGCUUGCCCUGGGUAUUCCGCGUUGUUAGGCAAGUUAUAGAGUUCCUUAAUGACCUCCGAGUUGAAGUAGCCAUCAAUUAUGACCAAGAACUCAGACUGAUGGUAAUUCACAUCAUGAAACUUGUGGACCACAUCCAUCUAAAUCUUUGUUGUCCUAGUAAAAAACUUCCUCAGCCAAAUGCCUUGAUUGACGCAAAAAGGAAAUCUAAAAGCGGCCCAAAAAAAAGGAAAAAGGUCCUUCUCCACCUUAACUUCCUUUUCAAUGAAAUUCUCUUGGGAUCUUCGCUUCUUGCCGUCGGUUUGGGUCUAGAUGACUCAACCUUGUGUUUUUCCUUGCCUUGCUAGCUCCGGUGGCCUUCUUCAUUUCUUUGUGUUCAGGCGAUGGCCUCUUAUCAGAUGGGCUCAUCAUCUCCAACUCUUCGUCUAAUUCCUUCUCUAAUUCUUCUAGGCGUUCAGUCUCCUUUCCCUUACGACCUUAUUCUUGGAUGGUAACUACUCAACUUGCUCACUUAUUACUGCAAGCACCUCCUUUUUCUUCUCCUUUCUCUUGAUGGCAUUUUGGAUCUAUGUCAUUUUCUCUUUUGUCCCCGUCAGAGUUUCAACACUUUUCAAUUUCUCAGAAAACUUAUGGUGGAGAUGAGAGACCUCGUCAGUCAAACCCUCAUCUUUGAAUCUUCUCGUCUCUCUUUUGCAGUGAUCCUUCAAAAGGCUUUUCUUUUUCCUCAAUUUCCCUUCUUCUUCUCUCUUCAUCCUCCUUCUUUUUCUUUUCUUUUCCUUCUUGUUCUUUCUUCUUCCUUUCCUCUUAUUCUCUCUUUUCCUUCCUCGCCUUUAGGAAAGCGACAAGAGUCUCCCUAUCUUCUUCAUCAACUUCUAAGUAUAACGAAUCUAUGGGCGCUUGAACCUCCAACUCCUUGCCCACCAACACUUUCCCUUUGCCAUGCUUUGGGUGCUUGUAGCUUGGGGUGGAUUGAUUGAUCCACUACCUCUUCUCCCACUUUUCGUGUUCUUACUCGAUCCAAAUCACUCAAGUCCUCGAAUAUAUCAUCUUCAUCCUUCCUCCUCAAUUCACAUGUAGGUGCGAUCUGAUUUUCGACUUGCCCUUCUAAGCGUUAUGCUGGUUCUAAAUCAGGCCUAUCAUAAUGCACGAUGGAAGGGUUUUCAAUGGGUUUGGGCUUGGCGAUUUUCUUCAUUGCAGACCCCUCAAGCUUGGUGUUAUAGGAGAAAGAUUGAUUGGAUUUCUUGUGAGAAGGGACGGGGCUAGUGAAUGGUCGUUUCUAAGUAAGAGUGGAUGAAGAUUUCUCCUUCCUUUUCAGAAAUUUGGAAGUCUUGAUGAAUUUAGUGGUGGAUUUUGUUUUACCAGCCAUUAGAGAUGAGGUUGAUGAUAUGAAGUUUUUGACGAGAAGGAUGAGGUUCAAGGAAGAACAAGAACGCAGAGAGAGAUUUCUUUAGAAAGUCUGAAAGUCUAGAGUGCAAAUGAGGCAAAUCGAAGUUUCUCUUCACUAUUUAUAAGUGAAAUGCAUUAGCGUAGAUCAUUAUUAACGUGCAGGGCAUUAAAUGAGACCUAACAACCUUAGUGAUGCAUCCCUUCGAAAGUAGAAAUGAAGGUUGCACUAAAUGCAACUCUUCGAUUCCCACUUCGCGAGGUACAAGUUCCUAACGUCACAAAAUUUCGAGUAGGAAAAGCUAUUUUGGUCUUAUUGCUUACGGGUAUCCUGCAUACUCAUUAUCAGGCUGCAUUCUAGGACUUGGGCUUUAUUUAGUUUUUCUCAACCCUUAGCAAAGCACAAAAUUUCCUAAACUAAAAAGCAGUAGAGGAGAGCAAUAAAGAAAUCAAUAAAUGAUAUGAGAAAGAAAAAAAAGGAAAUAACCAAACAAAUAAAUCAAAGAGAUAAAUUAAAAAGAAAGAAAGAAAAAUAAAGCAUUAAAGUGAUGCACAAGAAUGAUACACUUGUAUUAAAAUAUGUUCGUGAAAAUACAAACGCAUCAACGCGUCAAGAAAAUUUAAAUGAAGGCAUUUUAAUUUAAAUCUACAGAGACUUUGAUGCAACUUCGUCUUUAUAGUACACCUUGAGUCUUUGCCUUUUGACCUUGAACGCAUUACUUAUAGUACACCUAAAGUGAUGCACAAGAAUGAUACACUUGUAUUAAAAUAUGUUCGUGAAAAUACAAACGCAUCAAUGCGUCAAGAAAAUUUAAAUGAAGGCAUUUUACUUUAAAUCUACAGAGACUUUGAUGCGACUUCGUCUUUAUAGUACACCUUGAGUCUUUGCCUUUUGACCUUGAACGUGUUACUUCCAUCCAGCGAUAUGAUCUCUACAACAUUAUGUGGAAAGACCUCUUUGACUACAAAAUGUCCAAACCAUUUUGAAUGAAGUUUCCUUGGAAACAUAUGUAAAUGUGAGUUAAAGAGUAAUACCUUUUGCCCAUAGUACAACUCACGUUUACAAAUGUGGCACUCAUGCCACACCUUCCUCUUUUUUUUUUUUAAUAAAUUUUGGUGUUCUCAUAGGCUUGAGAGCGCCACUCUUGAGGCUCAUGUAAUUGAAGCAACCUCACCUCUCCUACGACAUGAUAGUCGAAGUUUAACGCCUUAUGCUCCAACUCAAGUGGUAAAUAACAGUCCUGUCUGAGGACUAACAUGUAGGGAGACAUUCCAAUUGCUGUUUUAUACGGGAUUCAAUAACCCCAUAAUGUCGAGUCCAAAUGUUCUGCCCUGUCCUUGCAAGAUAAAUUUACCCUACUUUCUCCAAAAUGUUCUUAAUUUUCUAGUUGGAGACUUUCGCCUAACCAUUUGUUUGAGGGUGGUAGCGUGUGGCAACUUUGUGAGUUAUAUUAUACUUCGACAACAAUUUUCCUGUGAUGUGAUUAAUGAAGUGAGAUCCUUUAUCCCUUAUAAGGGCUCGUGGUGUCCCAGAACGCGAGAAGAUGCUCUUUUUCAAAACUUUACUGAUAGUAGUCACAUCAUUCUUCACACAGGAGAUGGCUCCAACCCACUUUGAGGCAUAGUCUACGACCAACAAAAUGUAAAUAUGGCCGCCAGAUUGUGGAAAGGGAUAAAGUCUAUUCCUCAAACAUCAAAGAGUUUUAUCUCUAAGAUUGGUUGUUGAGCCAUUUCAUUGCGAUGAAAAAUGUUUCUAGUCCUCUAUCACUAGUCAAAUUGACCACAAAAUUUCUCGCAUCUUGAAAUAGAGUUGCCUAGAAAUGCCCACUCUACAAGACCCUCACAUCUAUUUUCUACCCGCCAAAGUGUCCUACAUAUGGUGUAAGGGUGUAAUCAGGUUGAGUUAGGUUGUGUUGUGUUGGAAAAAUUCUCAACCAAACCCAUAUUUUUCGGGUUGGUUGAGUUGGCAACCCAAAUAACCCAAAUUUAGUUUCCAACCCAAUCUGUAAAAUAUGGGUUGGGUUGGGUU